GUUCUUGCUCAGCAGCACAUAUACUGUAAGUGGAGUGAUAUGGGAAGAUUAGCAUGGCCCCUGUACAAGGGUAAAACAUGAAAAUUCAUGAAGCAUUUCAUGCUUUU
rnacentral:snRNA from 1 species